rnacentral:rRNA from 1 species
CCCAGACUCCUACGGGAGGCAGCAGUGGGGGAUAUUGCACAAUGGGGGAAACCCUGAUGCAGCGACGCCGCGUGGGUGAAGGAGUAUUUCGGUAUGUAAAGCCCUAUCGGCAGGGAAGAAGCAAGACGGUACCUGACUAAGAAGCCCCGGCUAACUACGUGCCAGCAGCCGCGGUAAUACGUAGGGGGCGAGCGUUAUCCGGAUUCACUGGGUGUAAAGGGAGCGUAGACGGCCAAGCAAGCCAGGGGUGAAAGCCCGGGGCCCAACCCCGGGACUGCCCUUGGAACUGCUUGGCUGGAGUGCGGGAGGGGCAGGCGGAAUUCCUGGUGUAGCGGUGAAAUGCGUAGAUAUCAGGAGGAACACCGGCGGCGAAGGCGGCCUGCUGGACCGCUACUGACGUUGAGGCUCGAAAGCGUGGGGAGCGAGCAGGAUUAGAUACCCUAGUAG